AGGAUCCACUAUGCUGGGGACUGAAAGGCACUGCCCAGCAUUCACCUGGCAUCUCAGAACCAAAGAAUGGCUGGAGCCUGAAAUAAGAUCCAUAGAAACCCCUGCAGGUGCCAUGAAGCCAGCCAAUAGGGAACAGCUUGCUGCCAAGUUUGGUCAACUCCCAGAGAAGAUUAAGAUGCCUCCUUGGUUCCAUCCCCAGACAACCUGCUUGCUUUCCUUCCUACAAUGCAGCUCUUAGGCUCUCCUUACAUGCUUCUAUGAGUAAUACACUUUCCCUUCUCUCUCUUUCCAAUAGCAUUGUGGCCAUCUGGCAGUUCUGGCAGCAUCGAAACAGUACAUGAGAAAGAUUCCCAUAACUCUGAGGAACGUACGUCAUUGUGUCCAUCUGGCAGUUCUGGCAGCAUGGAAAUAGUGUAACUGGCUGGUCUGCCAUGUAAAGAAGAGAGGAAGAGUGGAUCCGACGCCUACGUAUUGGAUUUUGUUGAACCUUUUCAAGAUUUCUUCAGGGCUUUUCACUUGAUGUCGGAAUAUUUGUACUGCAGAGACUUGGGCCUGAGGCAGAAGUUGACUCUUUUG